UGUUUAAAUAUAAGCAAAAUGUCUCUUACACCACAUUGCUCAUUGGUUGGGUCGACAAGGACCGGUUAAGGAAUUGUACUUGUUUUGCGUCUUUUUCAGUCUCACAUGCUUCCUUCCUUUCUUGUUCCUUCAUUGUUCCUCAUUUCAUAAACACUUAUGUCUUCUUCUUCUUUUUUUUUUUCUUUUUUCGUUAUGAAAAACACUUAUGUCUUCUUGUGUGUCU